rnacentral:rRNA from 1 species
UGAAGCGGCGACAGCUCAAAUUUGAAAUCUGGCCCCCCCGGCCCGAGUUGUAAUUUGCAGAGGAUGCUUCUGGCGAGGCGCCUUCCGAGUGCCCUGGAACGGGACGCCACAGAGGGUGAGAGCCCCGUCUGGUCGGACGCCGAGCCUCCGCGAAGCUCCUUCGACGAGUCGAGUAGUUUGGGAAUGCUGCUCUAAACGGGAGGUAUAUGUCUUCUAAAGCUAAAUACCGGCCAGAGACCGAUAGCGCACAAGUAGAGUGAUCGAAAGAUGAAAAGCACUUUGAAAAGAGGGUUAAACAGUACGUGAAAUUGUUGAAAGGGAAGCGCUCGCGACCAGACUUGGGCCCGGCGAAUCAUCCGGCGUUCUCGCCGGUGCACUUCGCCGGGCUUCCAGGCCAGCAUCAGCUCGCCUCGGGGGAUAAAGGCCCGGGGAACGUGGCUCCUCCGGGAGUGUUAUAGCCCCUCGCGCAAUGCCCUGGGGCGGGCUGAGGACCGCGCAUUCGCAAGGAUGCUGGCGUAAUGUCGUCAGCGACCCGUCUUGAA